GGAUCAUUGGCGCAAUGGUGAGCGCAAUCGGCUCAUAACCGAUCGGUUUCGGGUUCGAGUCCCGAAUGAUCCA
rnacentral:tRNA from 1 species